UACGUAGGUGGCAAGCGUUGUCCGGAUUUACUGGGCGUAAAGAGCGCGCAGGCGGUCGUUCAAGUCGCGUGUGAAAGCCCCCGGCUCAACUGGGGAGGGUCACGCGAUACUGAUCGACUCGAAGGCAGGAGAGGGAAGUGGAAUUCCCGGUGUAGUGGUGAAAUGCGUAGAUAUCUGGAGGAACACCCGUGGUGCAGACGGCUUGCUGGACCGUGACUGACGCUGAGGCACGAAAGCGUGGGUAGCAAACAGG
rnacentral:rRNA from 1 species